AAAUGAAUCUCUAAGAUAUUCGCAUCUACAAAAAUAUAAUCGAACAGAGAGAGAGAUGGAACAAAGUAAAGUAUAUAAGAUGUUCUCUCCUUUGAUUUGAGAGAAGAUGAUUGUUCUCUGGGUCGAGACUCGAGCGAGCGAGCUCAAUUUUGCUCAGAGAGAAGGGAAUAUUGUGUGCGCCAAAGAUUUCUUGGAGAUGUAAUCGCUCCACAUUAUAAAAAUCGUGUUCUUGUUUCUGGUACUGCUAGUAGUAGAAUUUGAGUUCGAUUUUUGGAUCUCACAAGUUCAUCUCCAAGUUACUAUGUUCUGCAUUUUUAUUCUAGGUUUAGUUAACUAUGAGGAAAUUGAGGAACCUAAGCUAGAAGAUGUGUUGCGUAGAGCUGCAACUAAAGAUUGCUUUGGAGGCUAAAGAGUAUUUGCGUUGCAAAGAAAUGCAUAUUGUUUCAGACUUGAAACAGAAGAUGUUGAUUUCUCUGGUAGCGAGACUUAUUUCAUGACUAGUUCUUAUUUGAAAAUGAUGUGGAGAAGAAUCGAUUUUCUUUCGGACUGUUCUUGAAAAGGAUUACAACUUUGUUUUCACGGUAUGUUUCUUAUACUCUUAGUAACUGAAAGCCAGAACUUAAUGGUUCUUAUAUUGAGUGAUUCAUUGUCUUCCCUUUAUGAUCUCCAGGAUGAUGAUGUGAUGUGGUUCAGGAACUUAUUUGUUUCUCAAUUCUUUCAGUAUCCAAUGCUUUCUUUGAUGAAUUGCAUUUGAUUUGAGAACUCUUGUGAGAUCAUUGACAUUUACAAAGCCUCUGUCUUAUUGGCAGAGAAUAGUAUUAUGUCCUUUUUGUAUGAUAAACUCACAGGACACAUAGAUCAUGCACUUUGGGAGGCUAAACGUGUCAUUUCCAAGGGGUCUUCCUAGCCAAUUCUGUCUUGACACAUUGUCUCAUACAACCAGAAACCUCACCACUCUACAAUUUGUAGAAUUUUGGGACUUCGUACAAGCAAGCUUAGCUUACAAAAGACGUUCGGCAAGUAACUGGG